GCCUUUUUAGGUCUGGUAAUUGGAAUGAGUACAAUUUAAAUCCCUUAACGAGUAUCCAUUGGAGGGCAAGUCUGGUGCCAGCAGCCGCGGUAAUUCCAGCUCCAAUAGCGUAUAUUAAAGUUGCUGCAGUUAAAAAGCUCGUAGUUGGAUUUCUGGCUUGAAACAUUAUGCCGGCCACGGUUUCGUGUGUUAGUGCAUUGGUGUUCUGGCCAUCCUUCCAAUCGCUAUUUGUCUUUCUUCAUUGAUGGGCAAGUGGUAUUGGAUCUUUUA
rnacentral:rRNA from 1 species